UCGGAUAUGGUGUAACGGCUAACAUUGCCGCCUCUCAUUCAUCGAGUGUCCGCGGCAGCUCGGGAUUCGAUUCCCCGUCUCCCAA